UAGGUGGCAAGCGUUGUCCGGAUUUACUGGGUGUAAAGGGCGCGUAGGCGGGACAACAAGUCAGAUGUGAAAUCUGGGGGCUUAACCCCCAAACUGCAUUUGAAACUGUAGUUCUUGAGUAUCGGAGAGGCAGGCGGAAUUCCUAGUGUAGCGGUAAAAUGCGUAGAUAUUAGGAGGAACACCAGUGGCGAAGGCGGCCUGCUGGACGACAACUGACGCUGAGGCGCGAAAGCGUGGGGAGCAAA
rnacentral:rRNA from 1 species